CUCCCGCUCCUCCGCAGAGGCUGCGCAGGGGCGACGGCUCCGCGUCUUGUCCAAGCGGGACGUCCCACAUCCCCCUUCAAAGCGUAUCCCGGAGCAAAGUCGCGACGGGGGGGAGCCGGAGGAGGAAGGACAGGGAAGGGGCAUUUGGUUUCGUGAGGUCUCGGGAGCAGCUGAAGCGACCUGUUGCACUCGGUGAGCUUCUCUCCUGUGGGAAACGGGCUUGAAAAAAACUCAAACUCUGCUAAACUGAAUAGCCGGGAGACAGCACAGUGGACAAGGCGGUCACAGGUGCACGAGUACGGAUUUCUUCUCUUAUCCUUUCUUUUCACUCCUUUGCAACAUCCCAAGUCGCUCAUCGGAAGGGCUUCCCGGUUCCACUGGCCGCAGGGUUGAGACUGCUCUGCUCGGAGGCCCGUCCCCCCACAGCAGGGCAUAAAAACAAAACACAGACUCCCAAAUCAACCGAGGAAAAACCUCUCCGCUAACACCCGAGACAGAGCACCUCCCCUUCUCCGGCACCGGCCUCCCAAAAGUGAACCCGGGAAGACGCCCCGUGCCCAGAGUGAAGGCAACCCUCAUCCCGGGGGCAGAGGCUGUCCCGCUUUCCCCCAGCCUCGUAAAGCCGAGGUAGACAGACCCACACCAACCUGAACUUCUCCUCUCUCCCUCCGAAAAUACCGACGCCGGGAGUUCUGUCUGGGCAGAGGACGGGGCGGGGGGUGCUUCCUCUCGGCCCCGCCGGGGAGCGAGCCCACCCCGCUGCCGGCCGCAGCCCCCGUCCACCGUGGAGCAUCUGUCCCGGAGCGGGCGCCUCUGCCGGCCCUGGGAUCGCCUCAGCUGCAAGUAGCCCCACGGGCGCAGACCAGGCACUGCCAAAAACUACUUUAGA